rnacentral:rRNA from 1 species
GACGAACGCUGGCGGCGUGCCUAAUACAUGCAAGUAGAACGCACAGUUUAUACCGUAGCUUGCUACACCAUAGACUGUGAGUUGCGAACGGGUGAGUAACGCGUAGGUAACCUGCCUGGUAGCGGGGGAUAACUAUUGGAAACGAUAGCUAAUACCGCAUAAUAUUAAUUAUUGCAUGAUAAUUAAUUGAAAGGUGCAAUUGCACCACUACCAGAUGGACCUGCGUUGUAUUAGCUAGUAGGUGAGGUAACGGCUCACCUAGGCGACGAUACAUAGCCGACCUGAGAGGGUGAUCGGCCACACUGGGACUGAGACACGGCCCAGACUCCUACGGGAGGCAGCAGUAGGGAAUCUUCGGCAAUAGACGAAAGUCUGACCGAGCAACGCCGCGUGAGUGAAGAAGGUUUUCGGAUCGUAAAGCUCUGUUGUAAGAGAAGAACGGGUGUGAGAGUGGAAAGUUCACACUGUGACGGUAUCUUACCAGAAAGGGACGGCUAACUACGUG